UAAUGUCCUCAUUAUGCGCCUAUUAUAUCGAUAUAUAAGCUUAUGGAAGUUAAACCCCUUUCAUGCAUAACCUAACAAUAGCAUUAGUAUGUGACAGAAAAUUUUUGUAUGCAGUUCAAAUAGUAGUACAUCUGAUAAAAUUAAAUUUAUACAAAUAGUUAAAGAUAGAAAAUCACUGAUGAAUAUCUUGAAUUUUGUAAUAUGUGGAUAUGAUAACGAAGAUAAGUAUAUAAAAUAGAAAAUUAUAAUAUUUAAUCUGAAAAACAUAAAUAAAAAUAAAUAAAAAUAAAUGAAAAUCAAUCAUGAUAAAUAAGAAUAAUAAAGAAAUGAGAAUUUUUCAGUGCUUAUCUAAGUAAUUAUUUUAGAAUUCUAUUAUAUUUAAUCUAUUUAUCUACCGAAAUAUGUUAGUAAUAAUAUGUAAAAUUUAAGAUGCUUUUCAUUUUAGAAUUAAAAUUAACAUUUGUUUUCUUUAAAAAAAAAAAGUAAAAGAAAAUAAAAAAUUCUUGAUCCUAAUCUAAAUAAAGUUCGAGGAAUUAUAGAGGAGAAACGUAUAUUAAUUAAUAUAUUAAUUGCUGAAAAUCCUGAUUCUACAAUGUGCUGUUACUACACACUUAUAUUAUAUGCAUAUUCUAUAUAAUGUUUAAAUAAAUGUAAAAUAAUCAAAAA